UGACUGUUUUCUUCAUGACCAUCAUCGUUGGUCUGGUUCUUCAAAUCAAGAAACUUCAGAAAGCGGAUGAAGAACAAUCUACACAACUGGGUGGGAUCCCUGACUCUGAUGAGUUGAACUACACCACUGUGACUUUUAAUCGACAAGGAAGAAGAAGAGAGCUGGAGCCAAAUGUUGUCUAUGCUGCUACCAGAUAGACUGAAGGAGGAAACAUAACAACAGCUCAAUGAAGAACUGAUGCUUGGACUUCUGGGAGAAGUUGU